UGCUUGAGACGAUCUUUAAAUAAGAUUCGACUAUGAAUACCAGCCUAUGAUUGGUUCUUGCUUUUAAUUCGUCGUUGGAUUUAGAAGCAGAAACCAAUCAUAGUAAAGAAUCACUGAGCACUUUCUGAUCUGUUCCGUCUGCUGAGUGCGCCCAAUAUUGUCGGUAUGACAGAUAUCCCAACCUAACCUAACCUAAUCUAACCUGGCAUUAGCAGAUGUAACAAUAGAAAAAUUAAAUCCAAUUUGCAAGGAUAAAUUGAGAUCGACUAGAGAACCUGCCUAUUUGGACGAGAUGUAAGAACUCUUUCGUAAGAAGAUGCAAAAAAAGCUAUGGAACUCACAACAAACUGAUGGACAGAAAUUGAGAAAAAAAAUUGUAAUAAUAUGUAAGAAGUGAAAAAUAUAACAAAUAUUGCGAAAG